rnacentral:lncRNA from 1 species
GAAUUCCCAGAGCUGUGCCAGUUUAAGGGCUACCCACAGGCAUCUCUAUGCUUUGCCAUUUGCCCCUGUAAGGAGUAAGGUCAGGAGUCCUGGAGAAGUCAAGCUCAAGUCAUCCUUUGUAAUGACACUAAAGCUCACUUUGAGUUCACUUCACACAGGCCAGUCACAACCGUUUAAUUCUGUCCUCACAGCCCAUCAGCAGGCACUGUGGUGUUUCUAUCUUACAGAGGAGGACGCCAGGGCUUACCCAACGCUAUCACCUUGCCAGAGUCGUGCUGCUGAAUGAUGGCAGAUCUGGGGUGCUGUCGUGGGUGUCUCUGUCUCCCUCCCACAUCCCGGUCUCUACCCACCAUACUCCCUGGAAGUGGAGAGCAAUCACAGAUCUGCUGGUUUCUUUCUCUGCACCUGGCAACCUCUGGAGGGCAAGGCCUGCACUUUUCCAGCUGUGACACCAGCCCAUGUGUCUCAUAUCAUUUCUCUCUUAUGUAGCAAGAAUUUCUCCCCAGAAAGGAGGCGGCAAAGAUGGGCAGGGGGUGCAAAGGUGGGGGCUCUGACAGCCAGGUUCCAGGGUGCGCUGCUGAGCAAGCCCACAACCAUGGUGAGGCAGGGAGAUUCCGUAGGACUCCGUAUCCGUGCUUUGAAGAUGGCUUUUGUGCUUUUAGUCUUUUCUUUGUUCAUUUGUUGUUUGUUUUCUGAUGAUGUUUUAGUAAAAAUUUCUUUUGAAAAUCCCAA